rnacentral:rRNA from 1 species
AUUGAACGCUGGCGGCAUGCCUUACACAUGCAAGUCGAACGGCAGCACGGGAGCAAUCCUGGUGGCGAGUGGCGAACGGGUGAGUAAUAUAUCGGAACGUGCCCAGUCGUGGGGAUAACGUAGCGAAAGCUACGCUAAUACCGCAUACGAUCUAUGGAUGAAAGCGGGGGAUCGCAAGACCUCGCGCGAUUGGAGCGGCCGAUAUCAGAUUAGGUAGUUGGUGAGGUAAAGGCUCACCAAGCCGACGAUCUGUAGCUGGUCUGAGAGGACGACCAGCCACACUGGGACUGAGACACGGCCCAGACUCCUACGGGAGGCAGCAGUGGGAAUUUUGGACAAUGGGCGCAAGACCUGAUCCAGCAAUGCCGCGUGCAGGAUGAAGG